GUGAGGAAUUUUCCGCAAUGGGCGAAAGCCUGACGGAGCAAUGCCGCGUGAAGGAUGAAGGCCUAUGGGUUGUAAACUUCUUUUCUCAGAAAAGAAUUAUGACGGUAUCUGAGGAAUAAGCAUCGGCUAACUCUGUGCCAGCAGCCGCGGUAAGACAGAGGAUGCAAGCGUUAUCCGGAAUGAUUGGGCGUAAAGCGUCUGUAGGUUGUUUAAAAAGUAUUCUGUCAAAGAUUAGGGCUUAACCCUAGAUAGGCAGAAUAAACUUUUAAGCUAGAGUUUGGUAGAGGCAGAGGGAAUUCCCGGUGGAGCGGUGAAAUGCGUAGAUAUCGGGAGGAACACCAAAGGCGAAGGCACUCUGCUAGGCCAAUACUAACACUGAGAGACGAAAGCGAGGGGAGCAAAUGGGAUUAGAAACCCUAGUAGUCC
rnacentral:rRNA from 1 species